rnacentral:lncRNA from 1 species
CAUGGCCCCCUCAUCUCACACACACCCAGUGCGGCUCCUGCCCACCCGACUCCGUUACCUCCUGGCCCUCAGGUGUGAGCUCCUCUCAACUCCCAGCUGCCUAACCCAAUGCCCUGGCCAGUGCUUCCUGGCUCCUCCAGAGUGAAGUGUCUGCCCUCACUCCAGCCUCACCGGCGGUCCUCUCCUUCUGUCCCACUCAGCACAUGGCCCCUGCUGUUCUGUGGCCCACCCUUGGUCAUCCCAUGCCCCAGCUGCAGCAGGACCCAUGCCACUCUCUAGUCCACGCUCAAUCUAGCGCCUGUUUAUGCCCUCGCCCCAUGCAAGGGACUUUCCAUACCCCAAAUCCAAUGGAGCCACUCCCUGAGACGGCCCUUCCCUUCUACCUCUCCUCACGCUGCCCUACUCCCUGGUUUCUGCCAGGGGAAGAUACCACCAGCCCCAGCUCAAACAUGCGGCUCUUCCUCGCCCCUCCUUCCUCCCUCUCAUGCAGCCAACUCUUAGGGUUGCUCCCAUCCUCCCCCUUCCCCCGGGACCACCAAGUCCUCCCGACACUUAGCGCUUCCAUAGAUCAGUGACUUCUCCCCAGACCCCUGCCCUCCGCAUUCCUAUCCAAUGGACAUGAGCAGGAGCAUUACUCUUUCUUGAACUUUAUACUCACGAUGCCUCCCCAGCUUAAGAACCAUCAAAAGCUCCCUACUGUCCAUCAGAUCAAGGUCGAAGUCUUCAGUGAAGCCAUCAAAUGCCCUCUCUGUCCCCCUGGGGCCUCACCCUCUCCACCUUCAUGCCCAGGAGGUAGAUCCAC